AAGAAGUUUGACUCAAGGCUCACAGUUCUUCAUGUCGUACCAUAAACCUUUAUGGAGUCCUUGCUGUGGUUAGGCCUUGUACACGGAGGUGUGGGGGACAGAUGACUAAAACUUAGCAGGAGUAAAAUAGAUAUUUGAACUAAUCAAUGAAUAACACUGGCAAUUGUUAACGUUCUGGAUGUCAGGUUUGUUGCUAAAGCAUUAAAAAAAAAUGGAGUCUCAUUUCACCUAAAAGCAGUUGUCAUUCCAAAAGGUUUGUCCUUUCCCUCAUUUUUACCUCUAUUCAAAGGGAAAAUUGUAAUUUAACAGGCAAUUGGGAAAGAAAUGCUCACCUAGAAAACAAAGGGGGCUAUUCAGGGCAAGAAGUGUUUAGGACCACCGUAAUUUCUCCCCAGUGAUUUAAAGCAUACAUAAUUGUAAUGGCGGAUACUUGUUGAAUUUGUGUGAUGUGUGUGUGCCAUCUUUUUCUAAAGGAUUUCAAAUGCUUGCGUUUAAUCGCAACUCCACUAAAGGAUGUUUGUAUAGGCCUAUAAGAUGCCACAAGUUAUAGGCUCUUAAGUGGCCAUGUUGAGAUUUGAUUAUAAAAGAAAAUGCAUGGUUGCAGAAUUGAUGCUGUCAGCUGCUAUGCCGAACAUACUCCCUAAUUGUACCCAGUUAUUUAAUAGGAAUGCACCACUGAAUUGGGAGCUGAAAGGAACAUAAGGAACUGAAAAGGCCAGGGGGGAAUGAGACAGACUAUAAGUGACUGAAGAAAGGACUUCACCCUCUUUUCCUGUUUUCCAGUUUGUGAGGGAUUGCAGUAUGGCUCCAUUUCCUUGGUGCGUUUGUAAAAUAGUUCACCCACUGAAGACCAUGAAGAUUCUUUCCAAUGCUACCCUGCUUUUGCUGGUGUCCUGCACCUGAAAGUUGUGAUGCUAAAGGCUCAUCUUAUAUUUUCUACCCCAUUGACCAUUUCUCUAUUUGACUGUGCCACUGGGAGACCGUAUUUACAAACUGAGUAUUUUGAUGUAAUGACUGUGAUUUCACCUUCAGAAUUUGGAUGACUCUAGGACAUGGGCAAGAUCAGGUUGUAGACUUCUAGGACUGAAGGCCAUGCGUGGAUCAUGGUAAACUCACCAAAGCAAGUAAUGCCCUUGAGAUGAUCCUGCAGAAGCUUGUCAUUGCUUUCUUUUGUUGACACCAAGUCUUUGCUGUAUUACAUUAAAGUUGCAUAAAUCCA